rnacentral:rRNA from 1 species
GUGGGGAAUUUUGGACAAUGGGCGCAAGCCUGAUCCAGCAAUGCCGCGUGCAGGAAGAAGGCCUUCGGGUUGUAAACUGCUUUUGUACGGAGCGAAAAGGCUCUCUCUAAUACAGGGGGCUCAUGACGGUACCGUAAGAAUAAGCACCGGCUAACUACGUGCCAGCAGCCGCGGUAAUACGUAGGGUGCAAGCGUUAAUCGGAAUUACUGGGCGUAAAGCGUGCGCAGGCGGUUUUGUAAGACAGUCGUGAAAUCCCCGGGCUCAACCUGGGAAUUGCAUCUGUGACUGCACGGCUGGAGUGCGGCAGAGGGGGAUGGAAUUCCGCGUGUAGCAGUGAAAUGCGUAGAUAUGCGGAGGAACACCGAUGGCGAAGGCAAUCCCCUGGGCCUGCACUGACGCUCAUGCACGAAAGCGUGGGGAGCAAACAGGAUUAGAUACCCGGGUAGUCA